GUCCACGCCGUAAACGAUGAGAACUAGCCGUUGGACCCCUUGAGGGUUUAGUGGCGUAGCUAACGCGAUAAGUUCUCCGCCUGGGGAGUACGGCCGCAAGGCUAAAACUCAAAUGAAUUGACGGGGCCCGCACAAGCGGUGGAGCAUGUUGUUUAAUUCGAUGCAACGCGAAGAACCUUACCACCCCUUGACAUCCUCGGAACUUGGCAGAGAUGCCUUGGUGCCUUCGGGAACCGAGUGACAGGUGCUGCAUGGCUGUCGU
rnacentral:rRNA from 1 species